UACGUAGGGAGCAAGCGUUGUCCGGAUUUAUUGGGCGUAAAGAGCUCGUAGGCGGUUCGGUAAGUCGGGUGUGAAAACUCUGGGCUCAACCCGGAGAGGCCACUCGAUACUGCCGUGACUUGAGUCUGGUAGGGGAGCACGGAAUUCCUGGUGUAGCGGUGAAAUGCACAGAUAUCAGGAGGAACACCGGUGGCGAAGGCGGUGCUCUGGGCCAGUACUGACGCUGA
rnacentral:rRNA from 1 species